rnacentral:rRNA from 1 species
UACGUAGGGGGCAAGCGUUGUCCGGAAUCAUUGGGCGUAAAGCGCGUGUAGGCGGCUCGGUAAGUCUGCUGUGAAAGUCCAGGGCUCAACCCUGGGAUGCCGGUGGAUACUGUCGAGCUCGAGUCCGGAAGAGGCGAGUGGAAUCCUGGUGUAGCGGUGAAAUGCGCAGAUAUCAGGAGGAACACCAAUGGCGAAGGCAGCUCGCUGGGACGUGACUGACGCUGAGACGCGAAAGCGUGGGGAGCAAACAGGAUAAGAU